rnacentral:rRNA from 1 species
AUUGAACGCUGGCGGCAGGCCUUACACAUGCAAGUCGAACGGGUCGCGGACGGGAUAGAACUGUCUGGGCACCUGCCCGAGGGAUGGGGACAACAACUGGAAACUGAUACCGCAAACGCACAGCAUGGGCUGUGUCCAGAUGGGAUUAGCUAGUUGGUGGGGUAACGGCUCACCAAGGCGACGAUCCCUAGCUGGUCUGAGAGGAUGACCAGCCACACUGGAACUGAGACACGGUCCAGACUCCUACGGGAGGCAGCAGUGGGGAAUAUUGCACAAUGGGGGCAAGCCUGAUGCAGCCAUGCCGCGUGUAUGAAGAAGGCCUUCGGGUUGUAAAGUACUUUCAGCAGGGAGGCGUUACCCGCAGAAGAAGCACCGGCUAACUCCGUGCCAGCAGCCGCGGUAAUAC